UACGUAGGGUGCAGGCGUUAAUCGGAAUUACUGGGCGUAAAGCGUGCGCAGGCGGUUUGCUAAGACAGGUGUGAAAUCCCCGGGCUUAACCUGGGAACUGCGUCUGAUACUGGAUGGCUUGAGUUCGGGAGAGGGAUGCGGAAUUCCAGGUGUAGCGGUGAAAUGCGUAGAUAUCUGGAGGAACACCGGUGGCGAAGGCGGCAUCCUGGACCGACACUGACACUGAGGAGCGAAAGCCAGGGGAGCAAACGGG
rnacentral:rRNA from 1 species